rnacentral:rRNA from 1 species
UACGGAGGGUGCAAGCGUUAUCCGGAUUCACUGGGUUUAAAGGGUGCGUAGGUGGGUUUGUAAGUCAGCGGUGAAAUCUCCGGGCUUAACUCGGAAACUGCCAUUGAUACUAUAGAUCUUGAAUUUUCUGGAGGUAAGCGGAAUAUGUCAUGUAGCGGUGAAAUGCUUAGAUAUGACAUAGAACACCAAUUGGCGAAGGCAGCUUGCUACAGGAAUAUUGACACUGAGGCACGAAAGCGUGGGGAUCAAACAGGA